CUGCCCGCCACCGCCACCGACGAGUUUCAACAUGGGGAAUCAAGUUCUCUGGGCUUGCAGAGAGGAGAUGGGCGGGUUGGGCUUUGUAUGGCGAUGUGAAAACCAGAUGGGUCUGGGAGAGACAGCGAAAGGAGCGAACCGUUUCAGGAGGAAUACGGGAGGAAGACAAUUAUUUGCAGAGGGGAUUUGAUGCAGAUGAUCAUCAUGGCUUGGAGAAACAAUGAAGGAAGCAAAGUAUGCCAUCUAUGCUGCGGGAGGUAACUCCAGAAGACCCCAGAGAGAACGAGUUUGGACUUUUAACUGAGGGCCAUUGGAAACUACUGAAGAGUUUUAGGCAGCAUAAGAACUACUAGAUUUUCAUUGUGGGAGGAUCCUCAGCAGCAGCCUCAGAAAGGAGAUUGGGGAAGGAGAUCCCUAGUCAGGGAGACCAAGAAGACUACUGGAAAAAAACAGGGGAAUCCUCAAGGACCUGCAAACAAGAAACCAAAUCCCCCCACUCCCCCCAGCCAAAAUGUGUUCAUUUUGACCAGCUGUGUGUGUGUUUUAAAUUAAAAGUUUGAAUUAGAAAGCAAGUAGGAUAAAUUUAUAUACUUAGAUGUAUAAAUUUAAAUACCUGGCCCCUGAAGCACUUCUGAUAGGUCUCAGCUACCCAAACAAGAAGAACGGAAUCUUUGAAUCCCCAGGACUCAACGCAGUACUGGACACAAAAUGGGAGCUGAAAAAGUGUGUGUGGAGUCAGUGAAGGAUGCAAUUUCCCCUCAUUGUAGAGAUGAAGAAGCUGAGGCUGCAGAGUAGAAUAGGAGCAGACAGUGGGGAUUGUCUUCAAAGUAGGUUCCUAGUUCCUGGCUCAGAGGUCCCAGUUUUUGUUGACCAUGGACAGUAAAACUCCCUGGGGAAGCGGGCCCAGUCUCAGGAGAGCAGUUUUGAUUGGUCUAAGUUUGUGAUUGACUUAGGAACUGUCUGGCCAAUGAAAUAUGAGGGAAAGCCUGGGGGAUUCUGGGAAAGGUUUUGUAAACCAAAAAGUAUUUGAGACAUGUCUCAAUUUUAGAGGAUUAUUUUGCCAAGGUUAAGGACCAUUGCCCAUACAGCCUCAGGAGGCCCUGAGAACAUAUACCCAAGGUGGUUGGGGUACAGCUUCAUUUUAUACAUUUUAGGGAGUCAGAAGUUACAGGCAAAGACAUAAAUCAAUACAUGCAAGGUAUACAUUGGUUUGGCCCAGAGAGGUGGAACAUCUAGAAGCAGGAGCUUCCAGGUCAUAAGUGGAUUCAAAGAUUUCCUGAUUGGCAGUUUGUUGACAGAGUUAAGCUCCGCCCCAAGAGUUGAUGUCAGCUUAAAUUAAGGUAGGACACUCUGCAACCUUGGUUUGAUUUUGGAUCCCCC
rnacentral:lncRNA from 1 species